CCUACGGGUGGCUGCAGUGAGGAAUAUUGGUCAAUGGGCGCGAGCCUGAACCAGCCAAGUAGCGUGAAGGAUGACUGCCCUACGGGUUGUAAACUUCUUUUAUAAAGGAAUAAAGUGAGGCACGUGUGCCUUUUUGUAUGUACUUUAUGAAUAAGGAUCGGCUAACUCCGUGCCAGCAGCCGCGGUAAUACGGAGGAUCCGAGCGUUAUCCGGAUUUAUUGGGUUUAAAGGGAGCGUAGAUGGGUUGUUAAGUCAGUUGUGAAAGUUUGCGGCUCAACCCCGGCGAGCCGUUGAAACUGGCUGGCUUGAGAUGUCGAGAGGUAUGCGGAAUGCGCAGUGUAGCGGUGAAAUGCUUAGAUAUUGCGCAGAACUCCGAUUGCGAAGGCAGCAUACCGGCGGCGAUCUGACGCUGAGGCACGAAAGCGUGGGUAUCGAACAGGAUUAGAUACCCUUGUAAUC
rnacentral:rRNA from 1 species